rnacentral:lncRNA from 1 species
UCGUAUGUAAAUCUAAUAUUUAAUAUUAAUCAAAUAUUUGUUACAAAUAUUAGAGGAGUAACUAAUCUAUACAGCCACCUUCUAGGAAGGGUUCUGUUUCAAUUGGUUCUCGUAUCUAAUCUAAUAUUUGUAUUCUCCAAUAAAACUGUAUUCUAACUCUUGUAUAAAAUCGGCGGUAACAUCCUCCGAUCUUGAAAAUGAUGCUAGAAACUCUUGUGCCUCUAAUUCAUCGUCACUAGAUCCAAUUGCUGAAUUAAUCCAAGCUUCUUGUUUGGAAGUUAACUUUGGCAAAUUAUAAUUUCUCCUCUCGGCGUUGACUUAGUCUCUAAAUUAAACUGAUGUCCUCAAGCUCUUUUACCAAUGAAUGUCUGUGAUCUCCAAUUUGAAAUCUUGUCGCACUAAAAUCAGCAUCUGAAGCUUGAAUAGCUAGAACAUCACGAAACAUUUUACUAAGAUUUGGAAAUGCAUUGUCAUGUCUCCUCCACCAUGCGAAUAUUUCUAUGUUGUCAUGCUCGUCGUCAACUAUUUCCAAAGACUGAUUAAGACAUUCUUCAAAAUCAUCACGGUUAGUAGAAUUAAGACCAAGAAAACCUCGCAUAAAAUUAUCAAUUUCAUCAUUACUAAGGUUGGCAAGGGGACGGGGACGCUGGGACGAGACAGAGGGAGACGGGAUGGGAUGGGGGACGCCUUUGACUGUGAUUCAACCAGAUACGAGAUGAACUGGGC